GUGUUAUUAGUCAGAAUCAGUCUAUUAUGACUUAAUAUCAUACAGAUUUAUUGCUCUUAAAGUCUACUGAGAAUAUGUAUGACUCAUCAGGGCAACUGUCUUCAUAUUGCAAUUCAGUGAUUCAACCUACUUAGACCUUCUGGCUCUGUCCACUGAAUAAAGAAGUGGCUUGACGUUUCUGUACUGGCUCUUUGAUGCUUUGGCCCUCUCUGCUAAAGUCUC
rnacentral:lncRNA from 1 species